GACGAACGCUGGCGGCGUGCCUAAUACGUGCAAGUCGAGCGAAGUUUUUCUGGUGCUUGCACCGGAAAAACUUAGCGGCGAACGGGUGAGUAACACGUAAAGAACCUGCCUCAUAGACUGGGACAACUAUUGGAAACGAUAUCUAAUACCGGAUAAUAGCAUUAACUGCAUGGUUGAUGUUUAAAAGUUGGUUUUGCUAACACUAUGAGAUGGCUUUGCGGUGCAUUAGCUAGUUGGUGGGGUAAAGGCCUACCAAGGCGACGAUGCAUAGCCGACCUGAGAGGGUGAUCGGCCACACUGGGACUGAGACACGGCCCAGACUCCUACGGGAGGCAGCAGUAGGGAAUCUUCCGCAAUGGGCGAAAGCCUGACGGAGCAACGCCGCGUGAGUGAAGAAGGAUUUCGGUUCGUAAAGCUCUGUUGUUAGGGAAGAAUGAUUGUGUAGUAACGAUACACAGUAGAGACGGUACCUAACCAGAAAGCCACGGCUAACUACGUG
rnacentral:rRNA from 1 species